UGCAACGCGAAAAACCUUACCUACCCUUGACAUGUCUGGAAUCCUGGAGAGAUCUGGGAGUGCUCGAAAGAGAGCCAGAACACAGGUGCUGCAUGGCUGUCGUCAGCUCGUGUCGUGAGAUGUUGGGUUAAGUCCCGCAACGAGCGCAACCCUUGUCAUUAGUUGCUACGAAAGGGCACUCUAAUGAGACUGCCGGUGACAAACCGGAGGAAGGUGGGGAUGACGUCAAGUCCUCAUGGCCCUUAUGGGUAGGGCUACACACGUCAUACAAUGGCCGGUACAGAGGGCUGCCAACCCGCGAGGGGGAGCUAAUCCCAGAAAACCGGUCGUAGUCCGGAUCGUAGUCUGCAACUCGACUGCG
rnacentral:rRNA from 1 species